AGUAAGCUCCGUGAACAAGCUUCCGCAAGUGCCAUUCCUUUCAUACGAAGCUCUUAAACACCGCCACGGAAGCCUAUGUUCACC